CACCAGUUGGUUCAGAGACAGUUUCCCUGAUGGGCCCCUGAGAUCUGCCAUCCAUCCUGUGCCCAUGUGAGGAGGGAAGCUGGAUGCCCCCCAGGCAGCACUGUUCACCAGGCACUGCUCCUUUCUCUUGGUAACACCUCCAAGUUCCCAGCCCUCCCCAUUCUCUGGAAAAGCCUUCUUUCCCAUCUCUCUUCCCUUAUUGUGUUUGCAGCGGUCAUGCUUGAACAGAACCCCCAGAGAGGUUCCAUUUCUGGGGCCGGCACUGAUCUGUUGGAAGCGACGGCUGCUUGGAAUACUAUCUGGAGAAGAAUCUUCGGCUGUGUCCGGGCCCACGGACCGAUGGGAUCAGUCUGUCUUGGUGCUGGUGGGGCAGGUGGCCGCAGGCGUGUUUGAAGUAGAUGAACUGCUAAGGGAGGAGCCACUUUUUCUUUCCAGGUCAGGCCAUGGUCAAUUCCACGUCAAUGGAAUGCAAAACCUAGAGCCCUGAUGUUACUGAAUCAGGUCUGACUGCUUGAUGCGCAAAAAUCAAUAUUCCAGAGAGAGACAAAAGUUGGUGAAAAGGAAAGCUGCCUUUAAUCAGAAUGCUGGCAAUCUGGGGAAAUGGACCCAGUGUCCCCAAAACCCACCUCCCAAAAUUCUGCUCAGCCGUGGAGUUUGUAAAGGGAAAAGGGGAAGUAAUCUCAGUCAUUGACGUAGGGAGUCAGAGUCGUCGCCAUCCCUCCCCGUGUGCAGGCUUGUCGGCUCCUUGUGAUUCUCCCUUAGGUGCUCUCUUGUUCACACAGUUUGUUCGUGAGAUUGCUGAAAGAAAAGCUAGGGAAGAGAUCUGGUCAUCGGCUGAUUACUUAUUCUUCAUUUCUAAUUUGAUCUAUGGAAAGAACCAACAGAUUAGACAAGGUGUGGUGUGAUCAAAAGAUUUGAAAGGUGUGCUAGGGCCGGAGGUGAGUAGGGCAUAGGGCGCCUGGUUUGAGGUUAGUGACAGGACAAAGGGGCCUCCUGCAGAGAGCUCUUUCCUGCCCAAAGCUGCUUACACGGACUGCCUUUGAUUGGGUUCUUCCAGAAACAGACUAGGAUUCGAGUACAAGUAGCUAACUGGGAGGUGAUCCCAAGAUGCUCUGGUAGGGGAGCAGAGGAGUGAGACAGGAAGGUGAGGGGAAGCUGCUCGGGGCAGGGUACGUUAAGGAGCAUGUCACCAUUGUGGACAUCUGGGAUUUAUGAACAUCUGUGGGAACGUCUGGGCUCUGGUCCUGCCGGGGACCUCCAGGAGACGGUAUAGAAUACAUCUCAGACUUUUCCUACCCAAAGGCUGAGAAAACUGCAGAAUCUAUCUACCAACCCCCACUGAUCGUUGGUCCAGGGCUGCUUCUGGGGCUGCAUUAGUUCCCCAGCCCUACUGGCCGGUUCUGUGGGCUCACCAAGCUCAGCCCUGGAGCCCGAGAAAGCCUGCAGGCAGAGGUCACAAGUGCAAAGGACAAGCUAACGAGGUAAGAGUGGGGCCCUGACAAUAUCCGCUAUGAGAAUUAUGGCAGGAAACUAGGAUUGAGUGGUCUUCAAACAGCUGGCACGUGGUAAGAGCCAGAUGCCUCUCUGCGGCACAUCUAUCUACUCUUUGGAGGACAGUGCUAUAUAUAAGCAUCUGUAACCCCACAAAAGUUGUGGAGGGAGGCUGUCUGGAAGUAGAGCAGUGUUUUUAAACGUACAGUCCAAGAAAGAGAAAGGGGAUUUAAAAGGGAUUUCUUCUCUUUUGAAGGAUAUAGAAGGAAUCUAAUUCAAGACCUCGGGCACCCUUCCCCUUAUUCCACUUUAUCUCCUUCCACAGGGCCUGGACCCUUGAUGGGGACAAAGCUAAUACCCUCUCUGUCUUUGGUGCCCCUGGCUCCGCACGCCCUCCCUUCUGCCAGCUCCCUGCUUGUGCAGAUUGACUUCGCCUCUUGCCCACAUUCUCCUUGGACCUUCCCUCCUCUCCAUCUCCUCUGGGUCCUCAGCCCACUCUCCAAUCUGUCAUCAAAUCCAGUCCCCAGUCUGGUGAGGGGAUAAUAAUCCGUGGGAUUUGCGCUGGUUCCCUCCGAGGCUCAGAAGCUGUGGAUGGCUCGCAGUUGCCUGGCACGUUGAGCACCAAGUCUCGAGCCUAGCCUUUGGGGCCCUGCAUGUCUGUGACCUGUGUGAACAUUGCAGCCUGACCUCUCCUCCACCUGGCCGUCAUCGAGUCCUCCCUGCACGCUGGCUCUCUGAGCUAAGGGACACAUGGAGGAUGAGGCUUCGUCUCACAGAUGAGGCGCUGUGGAUUAUGGACAACUUACUUCCCUUCUUCCAUCCUGUGACCUGAAGUGUAGUCUCUCUGACUCAUGAGGAUACUGACAAAGAGAGAAAUGCAAUGUUGUAGAAGAUUCCCACUUGCACCCCUCUUUGUUGCUAGUGACUUAAAAAGACUAUAAGGAUGAAUCAGCUCACUGUGGCCAGCUCCCUGCUUCCCUUCAAUGAGCAAAGCCCUGCUCUGUGGCACAAACCCUACGUUUGAAAUACAGGUGCAGGAAUAGAUGUCAGUGACAUGAUUUGAAAGGAUUACUGUGCAAGCAGCCCAGCCCCUGGAUGCCUGCCGACUUCAGGCCGGAGCCACGACACCCAUGAGCUCUGUGAUGAAGGUGGCCUCAUGGCUCUGCAUCCCAGCACUGCUUGGGGUGCCAGGACAUAUACCGUGACCUCUGCCAUUGCCAUACACCUGCUGGAACUGUGGGCAAAACCACUGCCCUGUUCCAGGUCUGAACCUGGAAGGGGCAGGCCCAGUUCCUUGUGGCCCCAGGGCUGCUGGGACCACACCUACCACCACCUGUCUCACCUGUCAGAGGGGGUGGGGUGGGAGGGCGCUGAGAGGUGAGUGCUGUAACCCUUUCCUCUCCUCUGGCUAGGGGACCUCGCUGUAUGUGGAGCAUGGGAGAUGGACCUGAAUGUGUUUCUGGCCAGUUCAUGGAAAGGCCUGCUUGGUUAUUGAAAUCAGAGCCUGCCCAUCUUUGGAACUAGGAAUGAGGUCUUUGAUCAGGCUAAAAUUUGGGGAUCUAGAAAUGAACCCACUGCAGUGUCUGCCCUCAAGGAAAGACAAGCAAAUACAGUAGAAUGUGAGAAGCCUUUUCUGUCAUCAUCAGAUGUUCAAGGGCCCACCAUGGGCUCUGCAGAGCCUAUAGCAUGACCCCCACUGUGGCCAUGCCUACAGUCCAGUGGGAAAGACGGCAAAUGAAAAGUCAUGACAUUGAGCUGGGAUGAGUGUUAAGGUCAGAGAAGCAAGAGCCAGGAGCGUAGAGAGCGGGGGUGGUGGUGGGGGGGGGUGGUGGGGGUGGGGGGGGGGGGGGGGGGCUGACCUAGCCUGGGGUCAGGAGGCCUGUCUGAGGUCCCGACAGGUUGGAGGCAUUAGCUGGGGGAGGGGGGAGGGAAUGGGUGCCCCAGGGGUGCAGGGGUUGGGUGUGUGCUGGGGGGCACAAGAGUGGGAAGAGGUGAGCCCAGAGGUCAGACCCUGGUGGGAGGGAGCACGGCAAGAGGAUUUGGGUCUUUAUCUCAUGGAUGUGGGAGCUACAGAAGCUGUCACGCGGACAGACAGGAGGCCAGACAAGCGUUUUCUGUGACGGCUGCCUCUGGCCUCAGUGUGGCAAGAACACAGCCCCUCAGGGAACAUCCUGGCAGUCAGGGGCGAGGCCCUCUUCCUCCUGGGUGCUCUGUCAGCACGGCUCAGAGCAGUGACUCUCAGAAGCUUCCAGCAACAGGCUGACUCAUGCGGUGGCGGCCGCUCGCCCAGUCAAAGAUGGAGCUGGAAGGGCCAUGGCCUGGCGCUGCCUGGGACAGAUGGCAAAGACGUGCCAGCUGCUCCCUGCAGGGCGUUUCUGAGGAAAACCCCCUCCCGCCCCACGCGCGGCCUCCGCUGCCUCCCUGAACUUGCCCAGCUGGCUGCGCCCUGGCUUCUGGCUUGUCACAGCCAGAAUAACCAGAUGGGACCUGUGGGCCCGCGGCCAAGCCCUGCCACGUUAUCGAGUCCUGGCUGGGAAGGGGUCAGGUCUGGGAAACCUCUGCCCCCUCUCAAAGCACCGUGGGAGAAUCCACACCCCAAACCGGUCCCUUCUCUCCAGCCUCCUUCCUUCCCCAGUAAGCUUUCUCCUUACUUAGCCUCUUGACUCCCUCUAUAUUUUCAAUUUUUAUUUAUUGACUUUUGUAAGCAGAGGGAACUGGAAAGGAGCUGAGAGUCACAGUGAGCCUGAUUCUGAAGCCCACUCACCUCGACUUCCCUCCCACUGGACCAGUGACUGCAGGGGACUGUGCAAAGACCGUGGGCUGUGGUCAGGUCGGGUGCCACCCACAAUCUGGCUGUGACCCCUGCCAAGCAGAUGGAGACCAUGACCCGUGGGGGAGGAUGGAAGUGCAGGGAGAGGUCAGGGGUGAAAAGAAAAGCUCUUAACAGCGGCAACUGCCCUAGCACAGGCAAACGCCCAGAACCUCUGGUCUUCACCCUCAGAUAAAUGGAAAAUUCCUCAUGUGCUCCUUGCGGGGUGAAACAGCAAACCCACCUGAAUCCAGGACAGAACAGAUUUUUCAGCUGCCCACAAGCUCCUCACAUGUCCAUUGUUAAAGGUGUACAAGAAUGUUCGCUACAGUAAUUGUUACUAAUUGGGAAGAAUUCGAUGUUCUAGAAUUAGAAGACCUAGAGCAGCUUGGGCUGCGAGGACAAAGUACCACAGGCUGAGGGUGGAGGGGUCAGGGGUGGGGUGGGGCUUAAACCACGGUAAUUUGUUCUCUCGCAGUUCUGAAGGCAGGAAGGCCGAGAUCAAGGUGUUGGAAGGGUUGGUUUCUUCUAAGGCCUCCCUCCUUGGCUGGCAGACGGCCACCUUCCUUCUGAGUCUUCAUCUGAUCUUCCCCCGGGCAGGUCUGCAUCCUAAUCUCCUGUUCUCAGAAACAGUUUCACUGCAGUUACAAAGAACAAGGAAGAUCUAUAUGUAUUGACAGGGAAAGAGUUCCCAGCUUAUUGUUAAGUGGAAAAAGUAAGUCACUGGACAAUAUGAUACUGAUAGCAGUGGUUCCCUCUGGAGAGGUAACAGGAUUGGGGUAAGGGUGGGGUGAGGAAGACAUUUAUAUGUGUAAGUCUGUGCAGAGAUUGGAUUAUUGUUCUCAAUUCUUCACUCCCCUCCUUGCCCUGGCUUUGCAGCUUCUCCCCUGUGGGCUAGGUAUAUCUCCCUGGCCCGUGGAUGUUGAACUUGGCCGGGUGACUUGGUUUGGCCGAUAGAAUUUGGAUGGAGGUGCCCAGAGCAGAGGCCUUAAAUGUGCUUGCUUGGUAUAGUUUGGUCUCUCAGGCUUCUGUGACCCUCAGUGAGAAGAAGGCACCCCAGGAAAUGGCUGACCACGAAGACCACAGUCUUUAAGACUGACCUUCCUGCUGCCAAUGGAGACCAUGAAGACAUGACAAGAAGGGCUGAACCGAACCACAGCCUGGCGCUAGCCCAGCCGACAACACACCUGUGAGCAAGAAAAAUACAUGCUUACCUGGAAAACAUUAUGCUGAGUCAAGCUGUGUCGGGUCUUAGUUGUGGCACACAGAGUCUUUGCUGAGGCAUGCAGGAUUCUCUCUAGUUGUGGUGCGGUGGCCUCGCAGCACGUGGGAUCUUAGUUCCCUGACCAGGGAUUGAACCCAUGUCCCCUGAAUUAAAAGGCAGAUUCUUUACCACUGGACCACCAGGGAAGUGCCUGAAUUAUAUACAGUUUAAACAAGUAAAUCGUAUGGCAGGAGAAUUAUAUUUCAAUAAAGCUAUUCAAAAAGAAACCCACAUUGUUUAAGCCAUUAAGUUUUGGGUGAUUUGUUAAGCAGCGCUUGUGCAGCACUAGCUGACUGAUACAGUAUGUAUGCAUGUGUUUUAUAAUGAGCACAUAUUAUUUGUGUAAUAAAAAUAUGCAAAAUCAGAAUUUAUCGGGUUCCCUCCGA